UGACCAGUUUGUGCUCGCACUCAGGAAUGUCUCCAAAAUGAGCAAAUCUCUUUGGGUUUUGUUAACAUCUUCCCAAAUAUGGCUUUUGGGGGGAGAAGAGCAGACAGGUGCUUUCUCCAAGGAAUCCAGUCAGCCAUUCAGUAAACAUGGAUUAAAUUGGGACUGCACGCCAGGCAGAAAGCUAGGUGAUGCCGUGAAUAGAGAACUGACCCAGCAUCGGUUCUAUCCUCAGAGCCUUAUGAGCUGUGUGACCCUGGGCGACUGAUUUGAGCCCUAUUUGCCUUAGUUCCUUAUCCGGAUGAUGAGGACCUUAUCCGGAGAAGGAAAUGGCGAACUGCUUCUGUAUCUCUGCCAAAAGAUGCCUAGGGACUAGUCACAAAGAGUGAGAAUGAAGAGUAAUACAUGUUCCAGGCCCAGAGGUGAGUGCUGGAAGCAUUUUGAUGGCCCCAUACUGAAGGAACCAGGGCUCCCUGCCAUCAUAAAAGUGUGCGUCUGUCCCACUGGUCUUUGUGAGUGUGAUUUGGUUAAAAAUGAGUUGACAGUGAAAGUUCAAAAAAGGGGAUAUGAGCAGUUGUUGUUACAUUCAAAUUCACCCAGGCCGAGUAAGCAAAUUGAAGAAGGGAUUUUGGAAUACGGCGCAAAUUUGUUCCCACUUGGAAAUGUUGGGGCCCUGGUCGACCUAAGUUCUCUGCCCAUCUCUAGCCCAGGAAAGUGCCCUUCCUCCAUCUCGGGGUGGUGGUUUUUCCACACUUUCCAUCUACUUCAUUUUGUAUAGUUUUCAGCUUCUGGUGCGGGUUGGCAAUUUGUUCACCCCUCUUUCCUUUUCACAAAAAUCCAUUUGUCACUCCCCAUCCCAACUUCUGGCUCCCCUUUAAAUAACUUUGGGGGCACUUACGAUGUCACCAUGAUUUUUCGCUCCUCUCUGUUCUCUUGUUUCAGCGAGAUGACGGCUUUCGUUCAUUUGUGCUCAUGAGAAAAUAUUUUAACUUGUUCCCAAAAAGGAAGGAGAGAAAUAUUAGGCAUUUAAAACACAUUACAAAAGCACUCACUGAGUCAAUGAUGCAGGAUUUAUUAAACGUUUAGUAUAUGCCAGGCAAUGUGCUAAAUGCUGGGGAGGGGAAGACACAAAGAAUUCUUGGGAGCCCACGAAGCGUCCUGUCACCCAAUGGUGACGGAAGCCAGGAAUUCCAAGAGGGCUGGAAGGAGACAGAACCCAAUCAGGAAGCCUCCGAUAAUUGGUCGAGCAGCCUAGGAAAUAAGUAUUUUAUAUUAUUCAGAAAAAGCUCUCGAAAAAGUACCUUUUAUUCACCAUUUUCCAGAAACAAGCAAAAAUUUCAGUUUCACUUAAAAAUAUUUUAUACAUUGUUCUGGGCUUUGAUUGCUUAAGAUAUGGAAACUGAAGUGUUUGCAAAAACUGAGCACUUUUAUUGGGUUUCACACUUCUCUAUACAAAAAAAGGAGGAAGUGAACAAUUCACUGGAAUGAAGAGGGGAAAAGACGAUCGACACCCACUGAAAAAAACAGCCAAAGGAAAACAAUCUGCGCCAGGGAGAGAAGGUGUGUAACUGCUUGGGGGGAAGAGAUAGGUCCAACGAGAGGUAGGGAAAAAAGGAGAACACAAAGAGGUAACAGGCACUAUAUGAUGGACUGGGGAAUAAGAGAGAUAGAUUAGUGUGGAGAAGUGAGAGGCUGAAGAGAGGGUAAGGAGAAGAAGGGAGAUAGAUAAGGGUGGAGGAGUAAGAGAGAGGUGGAAGAGAGGAAAGCAGAGAGGAUAGAGGAAGGGCGAUAGAUUAGGGUGGACAAUUAAGAGAGAAGUAGAAGAGAGGGUAAAGAGAUAAGAUAGAGGAGAAGAAGGGAGAUAGACUAGGGUGGAGGAGUAAGAGAGAGGUGGAAGAGAGGAAAGCAGAGAGGAUAGAGGAAGGGCGAUAGAUUCGGGUGGACAAUUAAGAGAGAGAUAGAAGAGAGGGUAAGGAAAUAAGAGAGAGGAGAAGAAGCGAGAUAGACUAGGGUGGAGGAGUCAGAGAGAGGUGGAAGAGAGGAAAGCAGAGAGGAUAGAGGAGAAGAAGGGAGAUAGACUAGAUGAGAGGUGGAAGAGAGGAAAGCAGAGAGGAUAGAGGAAGGGCGAUAGAUUCGGGUGGACAAUUAAGAGAGAGAUAGAAGAGAGGGUAAGGAAAUAAGAGAGAGGAGAAGAAGAGAGAUAGACUACGGUGGAGGAGUCAGAGAGAGGUGGAAGAGAGGAAAGCAGAGAGGAUAGAGGAAGGGCGAUAGAUUCGGGUGGACAAUUAAGAGAGAGAUAGAAGAGAGGGUAAGGAAAUAAGAGAGAGGAGAAGAAGAGAGAUAGACUACGGUGGAGGAGUCAGAGAGAGGUGGAAGAGAGGAAAGCAGAGAGGAUAGAGGAAGGGCGAUAGAUUCGGGUGGACAAUUAAGAGAGAGAUAGAAGAGAGGGUAAGGAAAUAAGAGAGAGGAGAAGAAGAGAGAUAGACUACGGUGGAGGAGUCAGAGAGAGGUGGAAGAGAGGAAAGCAGAGAGGAUAGAGGAAGGGCGAUAGAUUCGGGUGGACAAUUAAGAGAGAGAUAGAAGAGAGGGUAAGGAAAUAAGAGAGAGGAGAAGAAGAGAGAUAGACUACGGUGGAGGAGUCAGAGAGAGGUGGAAGAGAGGAAAGCAGAGAGGAUAGAGGAGAAGAAGGGAGAUAGACUAGAUGAGAGGUGGAAGAGAGGAAAGCAGAGAGGUGAGAGGAAGGGAGCUAGAUUAGGGUGGAGGAGAAAGAGAGAAGUAGAAGAGAGGGUAAAGAGAUAAGAUAGAGGAGAAGAAGGGAGAUAGACUAGGGUGGAGGAGUCAGAGAGAGGUGGAAGAGAGGAAAGCAGAGAGGAUAGAAGAAGGGCGAUAGAUUAGGGUGGAGGAGAAAGAGAGAAGUAGAAGAGAUAAGAUAGAGGAGAAGAAGGGAGAUAGACUAGGGUGGAGGAGUAAGAGAGGGGUGGAAGAGAGGAAAGCAGAGAGGAUAGAUGUAGAAGAGAAGAAGGGAGAUAGACUAGGGUGAAAGAUUAAGAGACAGGUAGUGGAGAGGAAGGGAGAUAAAUGAGUGUGGAGAAGUAAGAGAAAGGUAGAAUAGAGGGCAAGGAGAUAAGAUAGAGGAGAGGAAGGGAGAUCAGCAGAGAGGAUGAGGGAGAAGAAGGGAGAUAGGAUAGAGGUAGAGGAAAGGAAGCGAGAUAGACUAGUGUGGAGGAGUAAGAGAGAGGUAGGAGCGAGGGUAAGGAGAGAGGGGAGGGGAAAAGAAGGGAGCUUCAACCCUAAGGUUGAAGAUGAAGAGAGGGCAGGGAGGUAGAAAAAAAGUGGAAAGAGACAGGAUAGAGGAGUAGGGCAGCGGAGAGGCAGGGAGAUAGAUUAGAGUGGAGGAUUAACAGAGGGGUAGGGAAAGGAGAUAGUACAGGGGGAAGAGUAAGAGAAAUAGAAUGUGGAGGGGAAGGACAGCCAGGGAAUAGUAGGUAGACUAGGUUGGACGAGACGGAUCUAGGAAGAAAGAAAUAGUUAUUGUGGGAAAGAAAUUGGAAGAUAAAUGGGUAAAGUGCGGAGAGAUAGAGAGAGGUGAUAAAAGGAGAAUGUCAGAAGCUUGAAGUUGCCAUGGGAGUGAUAGGGCAGGAAUUAGGGUCAUUCGGAAAAAACAAACUGGCAAGUGUGAAUGGGGAUUUGGAGAGGGAGGUAGAAGAAAAAGUGGGCAUAGGGGAAGAAAUAGGUAAAAGAAGAAGGAAACAUGUUUGGGAGGAAUAGGGUGAGAAAGAAAUAGAAAUGGGGAUAGAGGAAGGCAUGAAAGGGUAGGAAGAGAGCCAAACGGAGAUGGAGGGGGAGAAAAAAUAACUAUAAAGUAAGGAGAACGUUUGGACAGGGAGAAACAAGAGAAGAAGAGUUGAGGGUGAAAGAAUUGGUGAUGGGAAGAAAUAGGGAGAGAAGUUAAGAGAGAGGGAUGGAGUGAGGAGACCUGGGAGCGAGGAAGAAGGAGAGAACAUCAGAACAUGGUGAGAAAGAAAUGAAGGAGGAGGGAGAGAGAAAUGGAAAGACUUACCUGAACUGAUGCUGAGGGAAGUGAGCAGAACCAGGAGGACAUCCUAGACGGCAGCAGCAAGAUUACCAGAAGAUCAAUUCUGAUGGAUGGGACUCUGUUCAACAGUGAGGUGAUCCAGGCUAGUUCCAAUGGACUUGUAAUAGCGAGCCAUCUGCAACCAGAGAGAGGGCUGAAUGUGGAUCACAACAUAGUAUUCUCACCCUUUUUGUUCUGAUUUUUCUGGGUGGACGUGUAUAGAAGAAUUGCACAUGUUUAACAUAUAUUGAAAAUUAUCUAUGCAUAUGUUUGACAAUAAAAAGUUUUAAAUAAAGAAAAAUCAAUGGAGAGAGAGAUAUAAAUUAAUUCUAAUGAGCGAUAACUCACUUUAAUCACUUUAACCACCUACUAUAUAGUGGAUCAAGGAUGAUGAAAGGAAAAAGAGAUGGUCGAUUAAUAAAAUCCCGGUAAAAAAAAAAAAAUAAAAAAAAAAUAAAAUAAAAUAAAAUAAAAUCCCGGUACAUAAUAACGUAGCUGAAGACAAUUUGUAUAAACAGCCACACGCACUCCAACCAGCCCCCAAAUUACACAUGGACAAAAAUCAUCGAUGGCAACCCCAGCUCUGUCUAUGAAAUGCUAAAUACCGUAAUGACAGAGAAACGCCAUCUCUUUGAAGAUUGCGGGAGAAUCGAAUGCUAUUCUUACCUUGGAUGCUCAUUGUGGGCGUCUGGUAUGUUUCAGCUGAUCUAAAGCCACAGUAGCUCUUUAAAAUGGAGAUGCACUUGAAAUCUCAGGGAGGUGGUGUUUGUUUGUAUGUAUCAAUCCGGUUUGAAACCUAAAAUGACAGAAAUAUCCGUAAGCAUUACUCUCUAUUUAUCUCUCAGUUAAUUCAACAAGUGUACGUGAAAACUUUCACUGUUGAUGAGAUGAACUAGAUUUUUUAAAAAUUACCCUCCAUCUUUGCUGCUUCUUUAUUUUUCUAUCUUUCUUCCCGUAUCUAAGGAUCAUCUAUAGAUGGUCAGUCAUUUUUCAGUUAAGUCUGAUUCUCCAUAACCCUGUUUGGAUUUUGGGGGGUUUUUUGGGCAAAGAUCAUGGACUGGUUUGCCAUUUCUUUCUCCAGCUCAUUUUACGGGUGUGGAAACUGAGGCAAACAGGGUCACCCAGCUAGUGUUUCGGGUUGGAAUUGAACUUAGGGAAGGGUUUUUGCUGACUUGGGGCCGUGUGCUCUACCUACUGCCCAUACAGUUAAUGAUACCUCAUUCCAUAUAAGUGAAUUUUGUAUAACUCCUUUAAGCAAUACUUUUAAAAACUAUCACCGAGGAAAAUCUUUCCAAAAAGUGGUGCACAUUCUCCUUUCUUCCCAAACACUUAAUUGAGCAUAUUUAAAUGACUAAGAAUCGUCAUUAUAAACAUCAGCUAUUCUUACUCUUCAUUGAAACUGUCAAGGUAUACAGAAACCAAAACAAGCGAAACAGACAUCUGAUACACUUCAGGAAAAUGGUUUUUGCAAGGAAACACGCUAGCAGCACACAAAAAGAGCUUUGUAUAAGAAACCAUUACAAACCAUUUGCUUGUUUGAAAAGCAUGUAGUACAUUUUGAAAAGUAUAUCAUAUACUCCACGUUAUUUUUUAAGGCUUUUUUUGUCUGAGAUUCUUUGCAUAUUGAACAUUUUAAUGGCCCCCCCCUUUUUUUUAGUAUGGGGCUAACCUCCCCUUUUCCCUAUAACCCACUCUCCCAAAUUAAAAACGAAAGGUCGGAGGAAAAAAUCCGUGGGAGCCAACGAACACUGUCAAACAGAGCACAUCUACCCAGCGGCUACGCCCAGAAUGGCCGGGUCUGUUUCAGGACCCCAUCGCCUCCGUGUCAGGAAGCGGAUAACAUGUUUCAUCGUAGGUCGCUCAUUGAUCAGAGUUUCUUAAUCUUUCAGAGUUUGUCUUUACGUUGUCAUUCAUGUCAAACUUCUCCCAAUUCCAUACCCUUUUUGUUGCCCAGUUUUCUCCGAGAUCAUCUUUUUCAUCACGCUCAACUACCAUAACUUUGUUUGAAUUCUUCGGGUUAAUGUUGGAAAGUCUAUUUUAUUUCUGACUAUUUCCUCCGCCCUCUUUUCUCUGGUUAGAUAAAAGGAGAGUUCAGCUGACUACAGGUCCUGCCCACAUACCUUCUUUCAUCCUUGUAUACUCUUCUUCUCAUAUCCCCCAAUUACAAGAAAUACCCAGUUCCACCUCCUCCCUCCUCUUUUCUACACUUGUAUGUUCAUUUUACCUUCCCUUUAAAACCCUCAGAUCAGAAUCAAUAUACCGCCUCCCAAGUCCUCUUUUUUUCAUUAUUUAAUUCCCUCAGUACCCUUUGAAGACAUUAAGCUUCUGAAGGGACACUUGUUUCUUCUCCCUCUAGGAGAAUGUUAGUACUGCAUCAUCAUCUUUCUAAUUCUUCAAAUACGCUGACCUUUCUCGGUUUUCCCGGACUCUUACGUUUGC